GAUGAACGCUGGCGGCGUGCCUAAUACAUGCAAGUCGAGCGCAGGAAGCCGUCUGAACCCUUCGGGGGGACGACGGUGGAAUGAGCGGCGGACGGGUGAGUAACACGUAAAGAACCUGCCCAUAGGUCUGGGAUAACCACGAGAAAUCGGGGCUAAUACCGGAUGUGUCAGCGGACCGCAUGGUCCGCUGAUGAAAGGCGCUCCGGCGUCGCCCAUGGAUGGCUUUGCGGUGCAUUAGCUAGUUGGUGGGGUAACGGCCCACCAAGGCGACGAUGCAUAGCCGACCUGAGAGGGUGAUCGGCCACACUGGGACUGAGACACGGCCCAGACUCCUACGGGAGGCAGCAGUAGGGAAUCUUCCACAAUGGACGAAAGUCUGAUGGAGCAACGCCGCGUGAACGAUGAAGGCUUUCGGGUCGUAAAGUUCUGUUGUAAGGGAAGAACAAGUGCCGCAGGCAAUGGCGGCACCUUGACGGUACCUUGCGAGAAAGCCACGGCUAACUACGUGCCAGCCGCCGCCGUAA
rnacentral:rRNA from 1 species